AGAGUUUGAUCCUGGCUCAGGAUGAACGCUGGCGGCGUGCUUAACACAUGCAAGUCGAACGAAGCACUCUACUUGAUUUCCUUCGGGAUUGAUUGUUCUGUGACUGAGUGGCGGACGGGUGAGUAACGCGUGGAUAACCUGCCUCACACAGGGGGAUAACAGUUGGAAACGGCUGCUAAUACCGCAUAAGCGCACAGCACCGCAUGGUGCAGUGUGAAAAACUCCGGUGGUGUGAGAUGGAUCCGCGUCUGAUUAGCUGGUUGGCGGGGUAACGGCCCACCAAGGCGACGAUCAGUAGCCGGCCUGAGAGGGCGACCGGCCACAUUGGGACUGAGACACGGCCCAGACUCCUACGGGAGGCAGCAGUGGGGAAUAUUGCACAAUGGGGGAAACCCUGAUGCAGCGACGCCGCGUGAGCGAUGAAGUAUUUCGGUAUGUAAAGCUCUAUCAGCAGGGAAGAUAAUGACGGUACCUGACUAAGAAGCUCCGGCUAAAUACGUGCCAGCAGCCGCGGUAAUACGUAUGGAGCAAGCGUUAUCCGGAUUUACUGGGUGUAAAGGGAGCGUAGGCGGUCCUGCAAGUCUGAUGUGAAAACCCGGGGCUCACACCCCGGGACUGCAUUGGAAACUGUAGGACUAGAGUGUCGGAGGGGUAAGUGGAAUUCCUAGUGUAGCGGUGAAAUGCGUAGAUAUUAGGAGGAACACCAGUGGCGAAGGCGGCUUACUCGACGACCACUGACGCUGAGGCUCGAAAGCGUGGGGAGCAAACAAGAUUAGAUACCCUGGUAGUCCACGCCGUAAA
rnacentral:rRNA from 1 species